CCUGUACGAUCACCAAAGUUAAGCAAUGUUGAGCCUGGUCAGUAGCUAGAUGAGUAACCACUUGGGAAUACUAGGUGCCGUAAG